UACGGAGGGUGCAAGCGUUAAUCGGAAUUACUGGGCGUAAAGCGUGCGCAGGCGGUUUGUUAAGUCUGUUGUGAAAUCCCCGAGCUCAACUUGGGAAUUGCAAUGGAUACUGGCAGGCUGGAGUAUGGUAGAGGAAGGUGGAAUUCCCGGUGUAGCAGUGAAAUGCGUAGAGAUCGGGAGGAACACCAGUGGCGAAGGCGACUCUCUGGUCUGUAACUGACGCUGAGGCGCGAAAGCGUGGGGAGCGAACAGG
rnacentral:rRNA from 1 species